UGGGGGAUAUUGCACAAUGGGCGAAAGCCUGAUGCAGCGACGCCGCGUGGGGGAUGAAGGCCUUCGGGUUGUAAACUUCUUUUGCUCUGAACAAGGCGCACCAUGGGGUGUGUUGAGUGUAGGGGUUGAUUAGCGCCGGCUAACUACGUGCCAGCAGCCGCGGUAAUACGUAGGGCGCGAGCGUUGUCCGGAAUUAUUGGGCGUAAAGGGCUUGUAGGUGGCUGGUUGCGUCUGUCGUGAAAGCUCAUGGCUUAACUGUGGGUUUGCGGUGGGUACGGGCUGGUUUGAGUGCAGUAGGGGAGGCUGGAAUGCCUGGUGUAGCGGUGGAAUGCGCAGAUAUCAGGAGGAAUACCGGUGGCGAAGGCGGGGCUCUGGGCUGUUACUGACACUGAGGAGCGAAAGCAUGGGGAGCGAACAGG
rnacentral:rRNA from 1 species